UCGCGCAAACCUUACCAUCCCUUGACAUCCAGAGAAUUAUCUAGAGAUAGAUUUGUGCCUUCGGGAACUCUGAGACAGGUGCUGCAUGGCCGUCG
rnacentral:rRNA from 1 species